CUAUUGUUUACUCUCUACAGAUCCAGAUUUACUAAACAAGAAACUUCAUGACACAAAGAGUUUCUGCAGAUGCUGGAAACCCAAAGCAUCACACACAAAAUACUGGAGGAACUCAGCAAGUCAAGCAGCUUCUAGGGAAGAUGAAGUGGA